rnacentral:rRNA from 1 species
CCGCGGUACCCUGACCGUGCUAAGGUAGCAUAAUCACUUGCCUCCUAAUUAGUGGCCUGUAUGAAUGGACAAACGAGAGUUUAACUGUCUCAAACAUUCCCAUAAAAAUUAAUCUUCGGGUGAAGAGGCCCGAAUAAAAUUAAAAGACAAAAAGACCCCGUAGAGCCUAACUUCAAUUUAAGUAUAAACAGUCUAACAACCCCCCUUAAUAAGAAGUCAAGUUGGGGCGACUAAGGAAAAUCAAAAUCUUCCUUUCACAAACAGGCCUAUAAGCCCGCAACGAUCCAACUACUUGAUCAACAAAACAGGCUACCUCAGGGAUAACAGGCUAAUCCUCCUCGAGAGCCCAAAUUAACAGGAGGGAUUGGCACCUCGAUGUUGGCUUAGGGCCCCCUAGAAGUGCAGCAGCUUCUAAGGGAGGUUUGUUCAACCUUUAAACCCCUACGUGAUCU